GAACGCUGGCGGCGUGCUUAACACAUGCAAGUCGAACGAUUAACCCUUCUUCGGAAGGUCAUAAAGUGGCGAACGGGUGAGUAACACGUGACCAACCUGCCUCUCACAUUGGGAUAACUUAGAGAAAUCUAAGCUAAUACCAAAUACUCUUGAUCUGCCGCAUGACAGACCAAGGAAAGCUUUCGCGGUGAGAGAUGGGGUCGCGGCCCAUUAGGUAGUUGGUGGGGUAGAGGCCUACCAAGCCGAUGAUGGGUAGCCGGGUUGAGAGACCGACCGGCCACAUUGGGACUGAGAUACGGCCCAGACUCCUACGGGAGGCAGCAGUGGGGAAUUUUGCGCAAUGGGCGAAAGCCUGACGCAGCAACGCCGCGUGCGGGAUGACGGCCUUCGGGUUGUAAACCGCUUUCAGUGGGAAAGAUAAUGACGGUACCCACACAAGAAGCUCCGGCUAAAUACGUGCCAGCAGCCGCGGUAAUACGUAUGGAGCAAGCGUUAUCCGGAUUUAUUGGGCGUAAAGCGCGCGUAGGCGGCUUGUUAAGCAAGGUCUUAAAUCUUGGGGCUCAACCUCAAGCCGGAUCUUGAACUGGCAGGCUCGAGUAUGGUAGAGGAAAGUGGAAUUCCCAGUGUAGCGGUGGAAUGCGCAGAUAUUGGGAAGAACACCGAUGGCGAAGGCAGCUUUCUGGGCCAUUACUGACGCUGAGGUGCGAAAGCUAGGGGAGCAAACAGGAUUAGAUACCCUGGUAGUCCUAGCCGUAAACGAUGGGCACUAGGUGUGGGGAGGAUAACCUUUCCGUGCCGCAGCUAACGCAUUAAGUGCCCCGCCUGGGGAGUACGGCCGCAAGGCUAAAAC
rnacentral:rRNA from 1 species